AGAAGACGAGGGAUGUGCAACCGGUGCGAAGAGUUGCUGUAGCGUCGUGUACUAGUUAACGUUGGUUGCCGCUGAGAACCUUUAAACUUUCUGCGAGAAGGCAUAACGUAGUUAUAUUCCCUGGCCCGACCGUACAGUGUCUACGACGUUCGUCCGCGGCACCGUCGUAGUAGGAGUUUCGACCGCCGCAUUCUGCCAAACGCCGCAAUGCCGUCACCCAAGAAAGUGGUGCUCCUGGCCUGCGGUUCGUUUAAUCCGGUCACCAACAUGCACCUGAGGAUGUUCGAGGUAGCCCGGGACAACCUCGCUGGUCCUUCCAUGGAAGUGGUGUGUGGCCUGGUGUCCCCGGUGUCUGACGGUUACGGCAAGGCUGGCCUGGCGCCUGCGAAUCAUCGGUGCCGAAUGCUGUCCCUGGCUUUAGGCUCCUCCUCCUGGGUCAGGCUAGACACGUGGGAGUGUGAGCAGGAAAAUUGGACGGAGACGCGGCGCGUGCUGGACCACCACCGGCAGAGGAUAGCCAUUGAAGGGCUGCCCACGCAACCGGGCCCCAAGCGUCGACGAAGGCGGCAGAGCAACGACAACCUGAAUGAGGCAGCCUUGAAUGUUCAAGUGAUGCUGCUGUGCGGAGCUGACCUGUUGCAGUCAUUCCGUGUGCCGGGGCUUUGGUCCGAGCAAGACAUAGAGCAUAUCCUGACCCAGUAUGGCCUGGUGGUCGUGACUCGCUCUGGCUACGAUUUGCCACGAAUCAUCUACGAGAAUGACAUCCUAUACCGGCACCGGCGUCACAUUCAUGUGGUCACUGAGUGGAUCCCCAACGAGAUCAGCUCCACAGCAGUCAGGCGAGCACUGAAGCGGGGGGAGAGUGUCAAGUACCUCCUUCAAGACUCUGUGAUCGACUACAUCCGACAGCAUGGCCUGUAUGCAGAGUCUAUCAUGGACGACAUCAACUCGAACCACACGGAGGCAGAAGAUGGCCAGGAGACAGCCGUGUGACGUUUGCACUCGGUGCCCGGGCAGCACCUGCACCGGGUGCCGAGCGGUACUGCCACCGGCGUUAGCACCGAGCAAGUGAGAGCCGUGCAAGACCCACAUCGCUUGCAGUCGGUGGUGAUGGCCCUCUCAGAUCAUUGGCCCGUCACCAUGCUCGAAAACGGUGGACUGUUGCAGAACAGCAACAGAGGUGCGUUCCACUCAAAACACGAGGGCCACAAUGCAAAACAGAGCCCGGAAGGAAAGCUCCGUUUCCGGCCUGCUGUCCAGUGCCUUCGUGUAGCUACGAACCCGAUACCUCGGAACCAGCAGCCGAAAGUACCCGGGAACAAUAAAGCCGUGAAGGCAGGGAGCCUAAAUAGACGUCGGUUUCCAGUCCUUUCGGCAGCCACCGAGAGAAUGUAAAUAAAAGCACUGACAACAACUCAA
rnacentral:misc_RNA from 1 species